GCAUUUAUUUGUUCAUCUAAGCAGUGCAUAUACUGAAAUGUGAAGGAUACAGAGAAGAUUAAUAUGACCUCUGCGAAGUCUGAAAUACAGAUUCAUGAAGUGCUUCAUUAAAAA
ensembl:snRNA U6 U6 spliceosomal RNA